AAAGAAAAAAAACCUAGGUUUUCGUGUCCAAUGUUUGACUGUCCAUCUUAUAUGAAAUUUUUUUAUAAUUAGUAUUUUUAUUGUUGUUAGAUGGUAAAAUAUGAUUACUACUUUAUACGUGACUUAUCUUUUUAAUUUUUUUUAAAUAUAACGGAUGGUUGGAAACCUAGGGUU
rnacentral:pre_miRNA from 1 species